rnacentral:lncRNA from 1 species
GUAGAUGUUUGUGUUACAUAGACCUUCGUGGCAUGCGCACAUCUGUUUUGGAUGGUUUUGGGUCCUAUAGUUUGAGUAUGUGGAAUUGUUGGUUCUGAUGACCAGCCAUAGGUCAGGGAGGUUGCGUGUUGUCAACAGGGAAGGGAUUAUCCUUUCAGUCACACCAAGUUUGUGGAAGUCUGAGCCAUCCUUGAUCUUCUAAGAUACUCUGGUAAUCCCAUUAAUACGUUU